rnacentral:rRNA from 1 species
CACGUAGGAUGCAAGCGUUGUCCGGAAUUAUUGGGCGUAAAGGGCUCGUAGGCGGUCCGUCACGUCGGGAGUGAAAACUCGGGGCUCAACCCCGAGCCUGCUUCCGAUACGGGCGGACUAGAGGUAGGUAGGGGAGAACGGAAUUCCUGGUGUAGCGGUGGAAUGCGCAGAUAUCAGGAGGAACACCGGUGGCGAAGGCGGUUCUCUGGGCCUUACCUGACGCUGAGGAGCGAAAGCGUGGGGAGCGAACAGG